CAGCAGCCGCGGUAAUACAGAGGGUGCGAGCGUUAAUCGGAUUUACUGGGCGUAAAGCGUGCGUAGGAGGCUUCUUAAGUCGGAUGUGAAAUCCCUGAGCUUAACUUAGGAAUUGCAUUCGAUACUGGGAAGCUAGAGUAUGGGAGAGGAUGGUAGAAUUCCAGGUGUAGCGGUGAAAUGCGUAGAGAUCUGGAGGAAUACCGAUGGCGAAGGCAGCCAUCUGGCCUAAUACUGACGAUGAGGUACGAAAGCAUGGGGAGCAAACAGGAUUAGAUACCCCUGUAGUCCCUGUCUCUUAUAA
rnacentral:rRNA from 1 species